rnacentral:rRNA from 1 species
GAGUUUGAUCAUGGCUCAGGAUGAACGCUGGCGGCGUGCCUAACACAUGCAAGUCGAGCGCGGUUGUGCUUAGUAUUGAGUGUUUUAUUGAUAUAAAACAUUGAAUUCUAUGCACAACUGAGCGGCGGACGGGUGAGUAACGCGUGGGUAACCUGCCCUAUACACAUGGAUAACAUACUGAAAAGUUUACUAAUACAUGAUAAAAUAGUUUUUCGGCAUCGAAGAAUUAUCAAAGCGUUAGCGGUAUAGGAUGGACCCGCGUCUGAUUAGCUAGUUGGUGAGAUAACUGCCCACCAAGGCGACGAUCAGUAGCCGACCUGAGAGGGUGAUCGGCCACAUUGGAACUGAGACACGGUCCAAACUCCUACGGGAGGCAGCAGUGGGGAAUAUUGCACAAUGGGCGCAAGCCUGAUGCAGCAACGCCGCGUGAACGAUGAAGGUCUUCGGAUCGUAAAGUUCUGUUGCAGGGGAAG